rnacentral:rRNA from 1 species
UCAGUCGACUCCUACGGGAGGCAGCAGUGGGGAAUCUUGGACAAUGGGCGCAAGCCUGAUCCAGCCAUGCCGCGUGAGUGAAGAAGGCCCUAGGGUCGUAAAACUCUUUCGCCAGGGGAUGAUAAUGACAGUACCUGGUAAAGAAACCCCGGCUAACUCCGUGCCAGCAGCCGCGGUAAUACGGAGGGGGUUAGCGUUGUUCGGAAUUACUGGGCGUAAAGCGUACGUAGGCGGAUUAGUCAGUCAGAGGUGAAAUCCCAGGGCUCAACCCUGGAACUGCCUUUGAUACUGCUAGUCUUGAGUUCGAGAGAGGUGAGUGGAAUUCCAAGUGUAGAGGUGAAAUUCGUAGAUAUUUGGAGGAACACCAGUGGCGAAGGCGGCUCACUGGCUCGAUACUGACGCUGAGGUACGAAAGUGUGGGGAGCAAACAGGAUUAGAUACCCUGGUAG